AGGAGGAUUCAAAAGCUACAUUGCUACAAAGCCGUUCAUUAACAGCAAUGAGAACACCGCCACCACUGCUCUUAUCGGAAUUGGUUAAGGAUCUAUCACAACGAAUGCGUAAAUGUCGAAAUCGCGCUCCAGUGCAGACAUGAAAACUGCUUGAAGACGGCCACUACUCCGGAUACUGUUUACAUUCUGACGGCUCAGGCAAACGAGAGGUAAACACAUUGUGUCCUGUAGCGGGAAGCAACGGCAUGGGUGAAAUCGAACUAGACUGUCGGAGGCUGCUCAUUGUUUGGUUGUUCGUUGUUUGGCUGGACUGGC